CCUACGGGACGCAGCAGUGGGGAAUAUUGCACAAUGGGGGAAACCCUGAUGCAGCGACGCCGCGUGAGCGAAGAAGUAAUUCGUUAUGUAAAGCUCUAUCAGCAGGGAAGAAAAUGACGGUACCUGAGUAAGAAGCCCCGGCUAACUACGUGCCAGCAGCCGCGGUAAUACGUAGGGGGCAAGCGUUAUCCGGAUUUAUUGGGUUUAAAGGGUGCGCAGGCGGCGAGUUAAGUCAGCGGUAAAAUUUCGGGGCUCAACCCCGACGAGCCGUUGAAACUGGCUUGCUAGAGUGGGCGAGAAGUAUG
rnacentral:rRNA from 1 species